GGGAAUAUUGCACAAUGGGCGCAAGCCUGAUGCAGCCAUGCCGCGUGGGUGAAGGAGCGUUUCGGCGCGUAAAGCCCUAUCGGCAGGGAAGAAGGAGGACGGUACCUGACUAAGAAGCACCGGCUAACUCCGUGCCAGCAGCCGCGGUAAUACGGAGGGUGCAAGCGUUAAUCGGAAUUACUGGGCGUAAAGCGCACGCAGGCGGUUUGUUAAGUCAGAUGUGAAAUCCCCGGGCUCAACCUGGGAACUGCAUCUGAUACUGGCAAGCUUGAGUCUCGUAGAGGGGGGUAGAAUUCCAGGUGUAGCGGUGAAAUGCGUAGAGAUCUGGAGGAAUACCGGUGGCGAAGGCGGCCCCCUGGACGAAGACUGACGCUCAGGUGCGAAAGCGUGGGGAGC
rnacentral:rRNA from 1 species